UCUUUUCUUUUGUUUAUAGGAUCUCUAAACGCACAGAAUUUGGUGCCUUCAGGAAACCACAGUGCUAACCCAACAGAGAAUGUCACCGCUGUGACCUCCAACCAUACGAGCCAUCCCACCAGCACUGUGAGACAGCCGACGAACCCACAGUCUUCCACAUCUAAGACCGAGACAGUCACGGCCUUGAUGUCCACGGCAACAGCUAAAAUCACAACACCCACGGGCUCCGCAAACAGGACUAACAGCAGCUCAGUUUCACAGAACGCAACCCAGACGAUGCCGUCCACAGUGAGCACCACCGCCCGCAACAGCUCGGCCACGUCUGCUUCUUCAUCCGUAACGAUCACACCAACUAUUAAUUCUAAAGGAAAUCCAGGAUCAAAAUUUGACAUUGGCAGCUUUCUUGGCGGUAUCGUGUUAACACUGGGGGUUCUGUCGAUUCUUUACAUCGGAUGCAGAACGUACUAUUCGAGAAGAGGCAUUCGGUACAGAACCAUUGAUGAACAUGAUGCCAUCAUUUAAGGAAACCCAAGGACCCAUGGAAAGAAGAUUGAUAACAACCCUAUCAAUUAACUUUAGUUAUUCUUGAAUACACAGGCCAUGCAUAUAAUGUACUAUAGAAACAUGUAGAUUCCUCACUGUUACUAAAGGUAAAAAGGGUUUGGUUUGGGUUCUUUAAAUGAGUAUUUGAAGCAUAUAGUUAAUGUUAAAAAACACCUAUUAAGACAAGUCCGCCCCUUCUGUGUGGCACUGGUCACACGGGGGAGUAACUGGAAGGCCUCCUCCCUGAAGGGCGCAGUGCCCUCUGAGCCCACAGAUACGGGCCUUGGGACGGUCACACAGCUUGUACAGCUGAGUACUGGGUUCAGAAACAAAAGGCACUGCCUUCAGGUCCUGCUAGAGAGCCUGGGUUCUUGUUACAACCUCUUUUGAGCUUUCAAUGGCAAUUCAGCUAAGUAUUUUUGCGUCUGUAAUUUCAGUAAACUGCAAUGUUGAACAAAGUUUUAAAGAUGGAGUUAGGUUUUUUGCUACUGCGAGACUACUGGAAAUUGCUUUAUUUCAUAUGCAACAGUUAAUUUUAUGUUUAGGGAAUAUUUUUAAGAGGUGUAGAGCUUCUUUCAGUAGCUAGGAUCCUGUAUGAUGCAGUGUCAGCCUACCUACCUUACGCCCCCUUCUGCAAUUUCCAGACAACCUGUAGGGCUCGGUCCCUCAGCCCAGGGAGGACGGCCUCCACCUGCAGGAGGCCAAUGCUGCAUUUUUAUACUAAAGAAAUCUUUGUAUUGGGAUUAAAUUCUUAAGUUUUUAAAACAAACUUUCAGGCCCCUUGUGUCCCGUGGAGGGGACUCGGCUGUCUUACGGUAACAGCACGGUGUUCAAGGGACACCCGUGUCCAUCAACAUCGGUCUGAGGGUUUGGCUUAUAGUUGAUACUACAGCAGCCAAAACUCAGGGUCAAGUUUGGCAAAAAAAAAAAAAAGUAUUUAGUCCUACUAAAUGACCAGCCAAUAUAGAAAUACUAUAUUAGAUGUCCUAAUGACACUGCUCUGCAUUGAAUAGGACUUAAGUGUAACCUGUGAUCAGCUUUUCAUUUUCAGAGAAUGCCAAGAAUUUUUAUAUAAAAGUAUCAUUUCUACUCACUGUGCACUAGGGCCCACUGAGGUGAAGAGCGGGUGACAGGGCAGGUCUGAGGCGCACGGUGGGCCCCCAGUUUACAGAGAGGUGGGCUGCUUAGUAACCUACAAUGCACCUGCCUGGUCUCGAACUGCUUUUAUGUCUUUGCAAAAUACACUUAUGCUACAAGUAUAUGCUUCUGUCUUACGAUGGGGGCCUUUAAACUGAACUUCUUCCAUCUCUUGCUGGCUUUACUCCCGUCAGAACCUUGAAGCCAGGCCUGUUUCUGCAGCACGUGGAAGAAAUGUCUUUAAACCCCUUUCCAGCUGCCUAUGCUUUGGGUCUAAAAACUGCCUUCUCUGUCUGGAAGCUGGAUCUUCGUUCCUUCCCGCCCCCGCACAGAAACGCGGAAGUGGGGGCACGAACCACUGCUCCCCCAGGGCGCACAUUUCCUAAGCCUGUAAUUCAUGUCCUAAUUAUGUUUACUUCAGCAGAUACUCGCUUCUGUUUGCGUUCCUUGAGAAUGUAUUUACUUGAAGAGCUCUUAGAAUCCAGUCUAGGACUUUAGAUGAUCCAAAACAUGAGGAUUUCCCAUACAGAUAAAUGAGUGGGCAAUAUAUUAAGAAUUUUGUAUUUUUCAGGAGAAACACUUUUAAAGCAAAUUCCUUUUUUUUAUUAUAAUGACCAGCUUUUGGUAUUCCAUUGUUACUGAGAUCUAUUUUUAGAAUAAAAUUUUGUUCUCCAUCUAAGA